rnacentral:tRNA from 1 species
CGGGGCAUGGCGCAGCUUGGUAGCGCGCUUCGUUCGGGUCGAAGAGGUCGUCGGUUCGAAUCCGGCUGCCCCGACAA